rnacentral:rRNA from 1 species
AGUGCAUGAAGCUGGAAUCGCUAGUAAUCGCGAAUCAGCAUGUCGCGGUGAAUACGUUCCCGGGUCUUGUACACACCGCCCGUCACACCAUGGGAGUUGGUAACGCCCGAAGCCAGUGACCCAACCGGAAACGGAGGGAGCUGUCGAAGGUGGGACCGAUAACUGGGGUGAAGUCGUAACAAGGUAAC